GAGAUUGUGAAAUAGAUAGAGAUCAAGGAGAAUAGCACACCCCACCAUUGCUUCAUUGUCUCCCUUGAUGUGCGGAAGUAGCCUUCCGGUCGUCCGAUGCAUUUAGAAGGCAGUACGUCCGCAUUACAUCCUCUUAUAUGCUGGACUCUUUCUUCAUGUUAACUGACUUUGGCUACCCACUUCAGCAGAACUUGAAUUGUGUUUUUGAGAGGGAAACAUGUGCUCGGUUCGGUCAUGCUUCUUGGGGCAAGAUGGAGGAGUGCUGGUAAACUGCAGAGGAACGAAACCACAAGCUAGCACACGCUAGUUUCCUAUGGGCAAACAUCAGUUUUGCCUCGAAGUUAAAUGGUUUUGAACUUGCCGAAGCGAGCCUUUCCCACCAUUUGUUUUAUUUACAUUUUCCAAAGCUUCAAUCUAAUAAAUUUUUAUCUAGUAGCGAUUGUAACUUCCUAGUACCAAA